GAUGAACGCUGGCGGCGUGCCUAAUACAUGCAAGUCGAGCGAACAGACGAGGAGCUUGCUCCUCUGACGUUAGCGGCGGACGGGUGAGUAACACGUGGAUAACCUAUCUAUAAGACUGGGAUAACUUCGGGAAACCGGAGCUAAUACCGGAUAAUAUAUUGAACCGCAUGGUUCAUUAGUGAAAGACGGUUUUGCUGUCACUUAUAGAUGGAUCCGCGCCGCAUUAGCUAGUUGGUAAGGUAACGGCUUACCAAGGCAACGAUGCGUAGCCGACCUGAGAGGGUGAUCGGCCACACUGGAACUGAGACACGGUCCAGACUCCUACGGGAGGCAGCAGUAGGGAAUCUUCCGCAAUGGGCGAAAGCCUGACGGAGCAACGCCGCGUGAGUGAUGAAGGUCUUCGGAUCGUAAAGCUCUGUUAUUAGGGAAGAACAAAUGUGUAAGUAACUAUGCACGUCUUGACGGUACCUAAUCAGAAAGCCACGGCUAACUACGUG
rnacentral:rRNA from 1 species